rnacentral:rRNA from 1 species
UACGAAGGGGGCUAGCGUUGCUCGGAAUCACUGGGCGUAAAGGGUGCGUAGGCGGGUCUUUAAGUCAGGGGUGAAAUCCUGGAGCUCAACUCCAGAACUGCCUUUGAUACUGAGGAUCUUGAGUUCGGGAGAGGUGAGUGGAACUGCGAGUGUAGAGGUGAAAUUCGUAGAUAUUCGCAAGAACACCAGUGGCGAAGGCGGCUCACUGGCCCGAUACUGACGCUGAGAUACGAAAGCGUGGGGAGCAAACAGG